rnacentral:rRNA from 1 species
GACGAACCGUGCGAACGUUGUUCGGAAUCACUGGGCUUAAAGGGCGCGUAGGCGGGUGACCAAGUCCGGGGUGAAAUCCUUCGGCUCAACCGGAGAACUGCCUUGGAUACUGGUCAUCUCGAGGGAGGUAGGGGUCUGUGGAACUGAUGGUGGAGCGGUGAAAUGCGUUGAUAUCAUCAGGAACGCCGGUGGCGAAAGCGACGGACUGGACCUUCACUGACGCUGAGGCGCGAAAGCUAGGGGAGCAAACGGG